AUUGAACGCUGGCGGCAUGCCUUACACAUGCAAGUCGAGGGGCAGCGCGGGGCAACCUGGCGGCGAGUGGCGAACGGGUGAGUAAUAUAUCGGAACGUGCCCUGGAGUGGGGAUAACGUAGCGAAAGUUACGCUAAUACCGCAUACGAUCUCAGGAUGAAAGCAGGGGACCUUCGGGCCUUGUGCUCCUGGAGCGGCCGAUAUCUGAUUAGCUAGUUGGUGGGGUAAAAGCCUACCAAGGCGACGAUCAGUAGCUGGUCUGAGAGGACGACCAGCCACACUGGAACUGAGACACGGUCCAGACUCCUACGGGAGGCAGCAGUGGGGAAUUUUGGACAAUGGGGGCAGCCCUGAUCCAGCAAUGCCGCGUGUGUGAAGAAGGCCUUCGGGUU
rnacentral:rRNA from 1 species